UUAUAAGGAAGGCGACAGUCCUCCAUUUCAGCCUUUCUCACUAGAGGGACGCGACAGUGGCAUUUCUGGUCUUGUAAACACAGGACUCCAUGGGACCU
rnacentral:lncRNA from 1 species